rnacentral:rRNA from 1 species
UACGUAGGGUGCAAGCGUUGUCCGGAAUUAUUGGGCGUAAAGAGCUCGUAGGCGGUCUGUCGCGUCGGCUGUGAAAACUCGGGGCUCAACUCCGAGCUUGCAGUCGAUACGGGCAGGCUAGAGUUCGGCAGGGGAGACUGGAAUUCCUGGUGUAGCGGUGGAAUGCGCAGAUAUCAGGAGGAACACCGGUGGCGAAGGCGGGUCUCUGGGCAGUAACUGACGUGAGGAGCGAAAAGCGUGGGGGAGCGAACAGG